GAUGAACGCUGGCGGCGUGCCUAAUACAUGCAAGUCGAGCGAACGGACGAGAAGCUUGCUUCUCUGAUGUUAGCGGCGGACGGGGGAGUAACACGUGGUUAACCUACCUUUAGGACUGGGAUAACUUCGGGAAACCGGAGCUAAAACCGGAUAAUAUUUUGAACGGCAGGGUUCAAAAGUGAAAGACGGUCUUGCUGUAACUUAUGGAUGGAUCCGCGCUGCAUUAGCUAGUUGGUAAGGUAACGGCUUACCAAGGCAACGAUGCAUAGCCGACCUGAGAGGGUGAUCGGCCACACUGGAACUGAGACACGGUCCAGACUCCUACGGGAGGCAGCAGUAGGGAAUCUUCCGCAAUGGGCGAAAGCCUGACGGAGCAACGCCGCGUGAGUGAUGAAGGUCUUCGGAUCGUAAAACUCUGUUAUUAGGGAAGAACAUAUGUGUAAGUAACUGUGCACAUCUUGACGGUACCUAAUCAGAAAGCCACGGCUAACUACGUG
rnacentral:rRNA from 1 species